rnacentral:rRNA from 1 species
UACCUGCAGCUCAAGUGGUGAUCGUUAUUAUUGGGCCUAAAACGUUCGUAGCCGGUUUAGUAAAUGCCUGGGUAAAUCGUGUAGCUUAACUAUACGAAUUCCGGGUAGACUGCUAAACUUGAGACCGGGAGAGGCUAGAGGUACUCCUGGGGUAGAGGUGAAUUCUGUAAUCCUAGGGGGACCACCAGUGGCGAAGGCGUCUAGCUAGAACGGGUCUGACGGUGAGGGACGAAGCCCUGGGGCGCAAACCGGAUUAGAUACCCGGGUAGUCCAGGGUGUAAACGCUGCUUGCUUGAUGUUAGUUGGGCUCUGAGCCCAAUUAGUGUCGGAGCGAAGUUGUUAAGCAAGCUAGCCUGGGAAGUACGGUCGCAAGACUGAAACUUAAAGGAAUUGGGCGGGGGAGCACAGCAACGGGUGGAGCGUGCGGUUU